rnacentral:lncRNA from 1 species
CAUAGACUUACUAGCGAUUGGGAGUGCAUGGAUAUUAUUUACUAAAUAUUAACGGAACAGAACGCCUGAGGGGAAGGAUAUAAUCCAUCUGACCAAGGAUGCAGAGAAAUAUGCAGGGCCUUCCCAGGUCCCGACUCCAGUUGUGGUUGUGACCCACUCUCAAACAUCAGUCGGUGUCCCCAAGAAGCGCAUCUACGUAGUACCCAUGCCCCGGCGGGCUCCUAAAGAGCCACAAAUCCAGAUUCAGACUCCCGCUGCAGAUGCAACCCAAACCCUGACUCCAGUCCCAUCCACAAAACACAUCUUUAUUGUAUCCCAACCUUUCUCCGCUCGGGCUCGA